rnacentral:rRNA from 1 species
GACAGAGGAUGCAAGCGUUAUCCGGAAUGAUUGGGCGUAAAGCGUCUGUAGGUGGCUUUUUAAGUUCGCCGUCAAAUCCCAGGGCUCAACCCUGGACAGGCGGUGGAAACUACCAAGCUAGAGUACGGUAGGGGCAGAGGGAAUUUCCGGUGGAGCGAUGAAAUGCUUAGAGAUCGGAAGGAACACCCAAGGCGAAAGCACCCUGCUGGGCCGACACUGACACUGAGAGACGAAAGCUAGGGGAGCAAAUGGG